rnacentral:rRNA from 1 species
AUCCUGGCUCAAGACGACUUUUGGCGGCGUGCCUAACACAUGCAAGUCGAGCGGAGUUACAUGAGGAGUAAUCUGAGUGUAACUGAGCGGCGAACGGGUGAGUAACGCGUAAGCAAUCUGCCCCACAAUCGGGAACAACCGUGCCAACGCGCGGCUAAUGCCGGAUAUUGUAGUCUACUGCAUAGUAGGCCAACGAAAUAUUUAUUGUUGUGGGAUGAGCUUGCGUCCGAUUAGCUAGUUGGCGGGGUAAUACCCCACCAAGGCGACGAUCGGUAGCCGGCCUGAGAGGGUGAUCGGCCACAUUGGGACUGAGAUACGGCCCAGACUCCUACGGGAGGCAGCAGUAGGGAAUAUUGCGCAGUGGGGGGAACCCUGACGCAGCAACGCCACGUGUGGGAAGAAGCAUUUCGGUGUGUAAACCACUGUCGGAAAGGAAUAACGGAAGACUUCGGUCUUUAUGAAUGUACUUUUAGAGGAAGCACCGGCAAACUUCGUGCCAGCAGCCGCGGUAAUACGAGGGGUGCAAGCGUUGUUCGGAAUCACUGGGCGUAAAGGGAGCGUAGGCGGAAGUGCAAGCAAUCUGUAUAAUCCUGGGGCCCAACCCCAGUUCUGCAGAUUGGACUGUAUUUCUUGAAUAGUUCAGAGGCAAGCGGAAUUUCUGGUGUAGCGGUGGAAUGCGUAGAGAUCAGAAAGAACACCAAUGGCGAAGGCAGCUUGCUGGGGACUUAUUGACGCUGAGGCUCGAAAGUGUGGGUAGCAAACAGGAUUAGAUACCCUGGUAGUCCACACUGUAACCGAAACAGGGUGGGUGUCCGAAAUUCGUUUCGGGUACCGUAGCUAACGCGUUAAGUAUGCCGCCUGGGGAGUACGUACGCAAGUAUGAAACUCAAAGGAAUUGACGGGGGCCCGCACAAGCGGUGGAGCAUGUGGUUUAAUUCGAUGCAACGCGCAGAACCUUACCAGGGUUUGACAUCCCCGGCAAAGCUAUAGAAAUAUAGUGGAGGUUAUCCGGGUGACAGAUGGUGCAUGGUUGUCGUCAGCUCGUGUCGUGAGAUGUUUGGUUAAGUCCAACAACGAGCGCAACCCUCGUCUUUAGUUACUAACAUUUAGUUGAGAACUCUAAAGAUACUGCCGAUGUAAGCCGGAGGAAGGUGAGGAUGACGUCAAAUCAUCAUGCCUCUUACAUCUAGGGCUACAGGCGUGCUACAAUGGCCGAUACAACGAGUCGCAACACAGUGAUGUGAAGCUAAUCUCUUAAAGUCGGUCUCAGUUCGGAUUGGAGUCUGCAACUCGACUCCAUGAAGCUGGAAUCGCUAGUAAUCCCGAAUCAGAAUGUCGGGGUGAAUACGUUCCCGGGUGUUGCACACACCGCCCGUCA